UGCUGGUGUCAGUGAUGUUCUGUGCUGGUGUCAGCUAUGUUCUGUGGGUGGCUGAUGUCAGUAUUCUGGACAAAAUUCCCCCUCUUGCAUGCUACUUUAAAUUCCCUAUAACUUAUUAUUACCAAAGGUUAUAGGCCACAAGCCUCACACUAUCUACUAAAGCCAAAUCUUACAGGAUAAAAGCCUGUAGGUUCUUUGCAUUACUACUAAAUAUAAUAAAGCAGGAUAACAAAGCAACGAAUAUAAUACAGGAACAGUGGAAGCCUGAGAAAUUCAGUCAGCAACUGGAAGAGCCCCAACCUCCCCAGUGCACAAGCUGCAAACAACAAGCAACAAGACUCCAACAAAAGGGAAAAAGCUGAGUAAUACAUUAGUGCAGUGUAGAAUAUACUAUUCAAUUAUGAGAAAGCUCAUGUGUCCAGGAUAAACACAGCUCAAUGGAGAAUGGGAAAUGUGUAUGACAUGGUGAUAAAGCUGCCAUCUGGUGCGCACCACUGGAAAAGAUGUCGCCUUUGUUUAUAUCGCAGCUUGUGCAAGGAGCAUUUUAUAGUGCUGACAGUGAGAUAGAAAAAAAAAUGUUAUGGAAAUAAACAACUUUUUAAGUGUG